AGCGAACGCUGGCGGCAUGCCUAACACAUGCAAGUCGCACGGGGGGGCUUCGGCCUCCCAGUGGCGGACGGGUGAGGAACGCGUAGGGACCUGUCGAGGGGUGGGGGAUAACCGCGGGAAACUGCGGCUAAUACCGCAUGACGCCGCGGCGUGACAGCCGGGGCCAAAGGCGAAAGCCGCCCGCCGAGGGGCCUGCGUCCGAUUAGCUGGUUGGCGGGGUAGCGGCCCACCAAGGCGUCGAUCGGUAGCUGGUCUGAGAGGGUGAUCAGCCACACCGGGACUGAGACACGGCCCGGACUCCGACGGGAGGAAGCAGUGGGGAAUAUUGGACAAUGGGCGCAAGCCUGAUCCAGCAAUGCCGCGUGGGUGAAGAAGGUCUUCGGAUUGUAAAGCCCUGUCGGCGGGGACGAUGGUGACGGUACCCGCAGAAGAAGCCCCGGCUAACUUCGUG
rnacentral:rRNA from 1 species